rnacentral:rRNA from 1 species
UAUGUGAUCGUCUCUCGCAUAUCAAUAAGCGGAGGAAAAGAAACUAACAAGGAUUCCCCUAGUAACGGCGAGUGAAGCGGGAAGAGCUCAAAUUUGAAAUCUUAAAGGGUUUCCCUUUACGAAUUGUAGUUUAAAGAAGUGUUUUCUGUUGAGGUUUUGGUAAAAGUUCUUUGGAAUAGGACAUCAUAGAGGGUGAGAAUCCCGUAUUUGACCUUUACUUUCAACUUUGUGAUACACUUUCAAAGAGUCGGAUUGUUUGGGAAUGCAGUCCAAAAUGGGUGGUAAAUUUCAUCUAAAGCUAAAUAUUGGCGAGAGACCGAUAGCGAACAAGUACCGUGAGGGAAAGAUGAAAAGAACUUUGAAAAGAGAGUUAAACAGUACGUGAAAUUGUCAAAAGGGAAGCGUUUGACACCAGUGUUGUUUUUCUGAAAAUCAAUUAAAGAACUGUUUAUGCUAAGCUGUUUAGACUUUAUCAGCUAACUGUUUAGUUUUGAGCUUUUCUUUAAUGCACUUUUCAGUUAACAAGUCAACAUCAAUUUCUUUUGCUGUAAAAAAGCUUGAGGAAGGUGGCUUGAGAUUCGUCUUAAGUGUUUAUAGCCUCUUGCCUAUGCAGUCGGAGAGAUUGAGGUCUGCAGCGUAGAUUCCUUCGGGGCUAAAUGCAUUUGUGCUAAGUUAUAGCAUUUUAUAGACAACUUGUUGACUAUGAUUUGUCUUGUAGCUUACCUCGCUUAUGUUAUUUUACCUACGCUUAGGAUGUUGAUAUCGCGCUCUCACUG